GGGAUGUGUUGAGUGGUCCAUGCUCGCAAAUAAGGGCGUCUGCUCCGCCUGUUUUUACGACAAUAAGGCGCUCUCAUCUUAACCAAUCUGUUCCC